GCACACCCACACACCAACACAUCCAAAGAUAAAUAGAAGCGGACUGACUACAUAUGUAUCUUCAAAAUAUUUCUAAACACCAACGCAACAAUUCCCCAACAAUUCUCCCGCAAUAUACAAGUACAUAAAUAUAUAUUUAUAUAUAUAUAUACAUAUAAACGAGGAUGGGAGUAUGGAGUCUACUUUUCUACACAUUUGCUACAUAAUGGAAGGAAAAAGGGGGUAUGGACAACAGGCAAAACGGCCCAGAUAAUGCAACGCAUGCACGGUAUAUUGUCCUCACAAGUGAGAUGAAGAUGAGGUGGGGGCAGUACGAAGCUUGCAAUUUUUUCUUGUUGUCCAUACACCUUCCUACAGCCCAUUACGACUCAAGUUUUCGUUGCACGUCGGUAAGGCGUCUGAGCCUCAGAUAUAUACCAAAACAGACCUAAAUAUACCGAAAAAAACGAGUUUAGCCCACUUAAA